UUGGCUUUUAAAUGGAGUCAGGUAUGAAUGGGAAAACCGGGUUUAGCUGUCUCCUGCUUACUAUCUUGAAUUUACUGUUCAAAUGAAAAAGUUUGAUUCUAAUAAAAAGACGAGAAGACCCUUAGAAUUUUUUUUAAAAAGGAUUUUGUUCUUAAUGAUUUUGUUGGGGUGACAGAGAAAUAUUUAGAACUUUCUUUAAUUUUACAAGCCGAAUUUUUUAAGCAAGAAUAAAUUACCUGAGGGAUAACAGCAUUAUUCUAUAGACGAGUUUGUGACCUCGAUGUUGGACUAGGAAACUAGCAGGCUAGCCGUUUGCUGUGUGAGUUCUGUUCGAACUUUAAUUCCU
rnacentral:rRNA from 1 species